AUGCUUCCCAAGUUGAAAGAUCAUUCUUUUUAUCAAUUAACCCAAGGUAAUAUCUCUAUUUGGAGCACACCAUGGUGCAGUCUUUGGGCCUCUAUCCAUGAUCAUCUUAUUAUUCAAGAGCCUGGCUUCAUGUAUCCUUCUUUAGUUAGGGACCUUUGGCUUCCUGGUCAAAAAGCUUGGAAUUCUGCUCUUGUUAAUUCUCUUUUUCAGCAUCCAUUGGCCUCUGUGAUUCUCCAAACGGACAUUAUCUAUGAUGAUGGUCCAGAUCUGCUUUGUUGGGAUCUUUCUUCUAAUGGUAUUUGUUCUUCUAAAUCUGCUUAUAAGUUUUGUUUGCAGGAAAUUCAUGAAAAUCCCAUGAAUGCUCCUUCUUCAGUGUCUUUGGAGGUGAAGGACUUGCUUAAGUUGAUCUGGAAACAAAAACAAAUGCUACCCAGAGUUAAAACUUUUGCUUGGAGACUCUUUCGGAAAGCUUUGCCUACAGGUUUAAGGGCGGGUCAUUUUUCCACUCAUAUUUCUCAGGCUUGUUGUAGGUGUGGUAAACAAGAGGAUGAAUUCCAUUUGUUCUUUUUAUGUGAUUUUGCUCGUGCGGCAUGGUUCUCCUCUCCUUGGUUCAUUAGAUCAGAUGUUUUAGUUCAAGGCCAUACUAAUUUGCAUUCCUCUAUUUCUACCUUUCUUCGAAUGUCUCAUCCUCAUGUCUCUAUUGAAAAUAUUCUUAAUUUUUUGUGGUGUCUUUGGAAGGCUAAAAAUGAUUUUCUUUUUGAUCGAAAAAAAGCCCUCCCUCAUCAUGUGCACAUUGUUGCAAAAGCCUUUUCUUAUGAUUUAUAUGAUGUUUCUAAUCAUAUGCCUAGCUUGCAGGAGGUGCCUCAAGUUCAACUUUCUCCUAAUCAACUUCCUCUGCAGGGAAAGACUCUUAAAUCUGAUUUGCUCGUUCUUGGUCCUAAAAUAUACUCUGAUGCAGCUUUCAGAUGUAAGAAAGUUCCAGGAUUGGUGCAAGGUUCGGUUGCUACUGGAGUUGGAAUCUAUCUUUCCUGGCCUCAAGAUCAAAUUGAAGUAAAUGUGCAAAUUCAGGCUUCAGCUCCAGCUACAUCUUCUCCAAUACAGGCAGAAGCAUUUGCACUUUCUUUUGCGGCUCAUCUGGCUAACAGGCUUAACAUUAUGCACCCAACUUUUCUUAUGGAUUGUCUAUCCUUGGCCUCAUUAGCUGCACCGGGUGAGAUUGUGGAAGCCAAUACCCCAUGGAGUAUCCGGAAACUUUUGGGUGAUUUCUUCAAGCAAGUGUCAAAUUUGCAACCUGAAGUGUUUCAUAUUUCUAGGGAAAUUAAUGGAAUCGCUCAUAAUGUAGCUCAUCAGGAUCUAUGUUCUAAUGUUGAACCUGAAAUAUGUUGCUUUCCUUCAGCCUAUAGACAUAUAUCUUGCCCUGUUGUUUCUCUCCUACAUACAUUUCAGGUUCAGGGCUUUGUAAUUCAUGCUGUAAGAUGCUAA
rnacentral:rRNA from 1 species